rnacentral:rRNA from 1 species
UACGUAGGGGGCAAGCGUUAUCCGGAUUUACUGGGUGUAAAGGGAGCGUAGGCGGCUUAGUAAGUCAGAAGUGAAAGCCCGCAGCUCAACUGCGGGACUGCUUUUGAAACUGCCAAGCUAGAGUGUGCGAGAGGUAUGCGGAAUGCGUGGUGUAGCGGUGAAAUGCAUAGAUAUCACGCAGAACCCCGAUUGCGAAGGCAGCAUACCGGUGCACAACUGACGCUCAGGCACGAAAGCGUGGGUAUCGAACAGG